UACAGAGGUCCCAAGCGUUGUUCGGAUUCACUGGGCGUAAAGGGCGCGCAGGCGGCUAUCCAAGUCAGGCGUGAAAGCCCCGGGCUUAACCUGGGAGGUGCGUCUGGGACUGGGUGGCUAGAGAUCGGGAGAGGAGAGUGGAAUUCCCAGUGUAGAGGUGAAAUUCGUAGAUAUUGGGAAGAACACCGGUGGCGAAGGCGGCUCUCUGGACCGAUACUGACGCUGAGGCGCGAAAGCGUGGGGAGCAAACAGGG
rnacentral:rRNA from 1 species